rnacentral:rRNA from 1 species
GACAGAGGGUGCAAACGUUGUUCGGAAUUACUGGGCGUAAAGCGCGUGUAGGCGGCCCUGCAAGUCGGAUGUGAAAUCCCACGGCUCAACCGUGGAAGUGCACUCGAAACUGCGCAGCUAGAGUCCUGGAGAGGAAGGUGGAAUGCUUGGUGUAGAGGUGAAAUUCGUAGAUAUCAAGCGGAACACCGGUGGCGAAGGCGGCCUUCUGGACAGUGACUGACGCUGAGAUGCGAAAGCGUGGGGAGCAAACAGGG